GGGUUGUGAGGUUAAGCGACUAAGCGUACACGGUGGAUGCCCUGGCAGUCAGAGGCGAUGAAGGACGUGCUAAUCUGCGAUAAGCGUCGGUAAGGUGAUAUGAACCGUUAUAACCGGCGAUUUCCGAAUGGGGAAACCCAGUGUGUUUCGACACACUAUCAUUAACUGAAUCCAUAGGUUAAUGAGGCGAACCGGGGGAACUGAAACAUCUAAGUACCCCGAGGAAAAGAAAUCAACCGAGAUUCCCCCAGUAGCGGCGAGCGAACGGGGAGCAGCCCAGAGCCUGAAUCAGUGUGUGUGUUAGUGGAAGCGUCUGGAAAGGCGCGCGAUACAGGGUGACAGCCCCGUACACAAAAAUGCACAUAUUGUGAGCUCGAUGAGUAGGGCGGGACACGUGGUAUCCUGUCUGAAUAUGGGGGGACCAUCCUCCAAGGCUAAAUACUCCUGACUGACCGAUAGUGAACCAGUACCGUGAGGGAAAGGCGAAAAGAACCCCGGCGAGGGGAGUGAAAAAGAACCUGAAACCGUGUACGUACAAGCAGUGGGAGCAUCUUUUAUGGUGUGACUGCGUACCUUUUGUAUAAUGGGUCAGCGACUUAUAUUCUGUAGCAAGGUUAACCGAAUAGGGGAGCCGAAGGGAAACCGAGUCUUAACUGGGCGUUAAGUUGCAGGGUAUAGACCCGAAACCCGGUGAUCUAGCCAUGGGCAGGUUGAAGGUUGGGUAACACUAACUGGAGGACCGAACCGACUAAUGUUGAAAAAUUAGCGGAUGACUUGUGGCUGGGGGUGAAAGGCCAAUCAAACCGGGAGAUAGCUGGUUCUCCCCGAAAGCUAUUUAGGUAGCGCCUCGUGAAUUCAUCUCCGGGGGUAGAGCACUGUUUCGGCAAGGGGGUCAUCCCGACUUACCAACCCGAUGCAAACUGCGAAUACCGGAGAAUGUUAUCACGGGAGACACACGGCGGGUGCUAACGUCCGUCGUGAAGAGGGAAACAACCCAGACCGCCAGCUAAGGUCCCAAAGUCAUGGUUAAGUGGGAAACGAUGUGGGAAGGCCCAGACAGCCAGGAUGUUGGCUUAGAAGCAGCCAUCAUUUAAAGAAAGCGUAAUAGCUCACUGGUCGAGUCGGCCUGCGCGGAAGAUGUAACGGGGCUAAACCAUGCACCGAAGCUGCGGCAGCGACACU
rnacentral:rRNA from 1 species